AGUGAACGCUGGCGGUAGGCCUAACACAUGCAAGUCGAACGGCAGCACAGUAAGAGCUUGCUCUUACGGGUGGCGAGUGGCGGACGGGUGAGGAAUACAUCGGAAUCUACUUUUUCGUGGGGGAUAACGUAGGGAAACUUACGCUAAUACCGCAUACGACCUACGGGUGAAAGCAGGGGAUCUUCGGACCUUGCGCGAUUGAAUGAGCCGAUGUCGGAUUAGCUAGUUGGCGGGGUAAAGGCCCACCAAGGCGACGAUCCGUAGCUGGUCUGAGAGGAUGAUCAGCAACAUUGGAACUGAGACACGGUCCAGCUCCCUACGGGAGGCAGCAGUGGGGAAUAUUGGCAAAUGGGCGAAAGCUUGAUCAAGCCAUACCGCGGGGGUGAAGAAGGCCUUCGGGUGGUAAGCCCUUUUGUUGGGAAAGAAAAGCAGCAGGUUAAUACCCCGCUGUUCUGACGGUACCCAAAGAAUAAGCACCGGCUAACUUCGUG
rnacentral:rRNA from 1 species